rnacentral:rRNA from 1 species
CAUUCGGAUUGUAGUCUGCAACCCGACUACAUGAAGCUGGAAUCGCUAGUAAUCGCAGAUCAGAAUGCUGCGGUGAAUACGUUCCCGGGUCUUGUACACACCGCCCGUCACACCAUGGGAGUUGGAAAUGCCCGAAGCCAGUGACCCAACCGUAAGGAGGGAGCUGUCGAAGGUGGAGCCGAUGACUGGGGUGAAGUCGUAACAAGGUACC